CUUCUUCCUCUUCCCAGCGCCAGCCUCGCCGCCGCGGCGGGGGGCGGGCGAGAACGCGAUUGGCUGAGGCGCGCGCGCGCACCGGAACGCCGCAGCCGGCGCUCGGUCCAUCCGGCCCGUGGGCUGUGGGGCCCCGGGCGGCGGCGGCUACGUAGCUGCCGCCGGCCUUGGCCGCGGCCGGGCGGGCGGAUAUGUGGCUUAAAUGGCGCAGGCGUCGGGGCCUAGAGGCUGAAGGGCUGGUCGUCCUAAAAACUCGUGGACGUCGCGCACGGUUACCCGGACGCAGGCCCGCCCCUCUGGGGAACCGCGAGCUCCUCGCAGCUGGGUGGGGACCGUCCUCGCAGUGGCGGCCUCCACCCUGCCUUCUCGCUUAGCCAAGGCUUCUGGAAGGCUCGCAAAGUGUCUGUUGUUGGAAGAAGCCGGGCCCUGACUGGCGCGACGGAUUCUCCCAGCCGCUCAGCAGAGCGUCUGUAGGUCGGAAGUGGGGGUUGUAUUGGAAUAUGCUUUUUGUCUAAUGAUGUUAGAUAAAAAGCAAAUUUGGAGCAGUUUUCUUAUUCGAGUUCAAAAUGGUUCAUAAAGCAGCGAAGACAACUCAAAACAUCAGUAACACAUUUGGCCCAGGAACUGCUAACAAACAUACAGUGCAGUGGUGGCUUAAGAAGUUUUGCAAGGAAGAGAGCCUUGAAGAUGAGGAACGUGAUAUGGGCCAUGGGAAGUUGACAACGACCAAUUGAGAGCAAUCAUUGAACUACAUGAAAAAUUACAGAAGAACUCAGCGUUGACUAUUCUACGGUCAUUAGGGUCGUUCAGCAUUCGAAGCAAAUUGGAAAGGUGAAAAAGCUUGAUAAGUGGGUGCCUCAUGAGCUGAGCGGAAAUCAAAACUAUCGUUUUGAAGUGUAGUCUUCUUUUAUGCUACGCAACAACAAACCAUUUCUCAAUCGGAUUGUGACAUGUAAUGAAAAGUGAAUUUUAUACAACAACCAGCUCAGUGGUUGGACCAAGAGGCAGCUCCAAAGCAGUUCCCAAAGCCAAACUUGCACCAAAAAAAAGGUCAUGGUCACUGUUCGGUGGUCUGCUGCCCAUCUGAUCCACUACAGUUUUCUGAAUCCUGGUGAAACCAUUACAUCUGAGAAGUAUGCUCAGCAAAUUGGUAAGAUGCACCGAAAACUGCAAUACCUGCUGCCUGCAUUGGUCAACAGAAAGGGCCCAAUUCUUCUCCACGACAACACCUGACUGCGUGUCGCACAACCAGUGCUUCAAAAGUUGAAGGAAUUGGGCUACAAAGUUUUGCCUCAUCCACCAUAUUCACCUGACCUUUCGCCAACUGACUACCACUUCUGCUAGCAUCUUGACAACUUUUUGCAGGGAAAACACUUCAGCAUGGUGCAGAAAAUGCUUUCCAAGAGUUCGUCAAAUCCUGAAGCACGGAUUUUUAUGCUACAGGAAUAAACAAACAUUUCUCAUUGGCAAAAAUGUGUUGAUUGUAAUGGUUCCUGUUUUGAUUAAUAGAAUAUGUUUUAGCGUAGUUACAAUGAUUUAAAAUUCGCAGUCUGGAAAUUUAAUUUUUGCAUCAACCUAAUAUUUCUAUGGUAAAUCCUUGCAAACAUGGAAACAAUGCAUUUGGCCCAGUGCUUUGUGGUUGUGUACUCUUUUUCUUUGUUUUUUUAAUAGAUGGCAUUGGCCGGGCAUGGUGGCUCAUGCCUGUAAUCCCAGCAUUUUGGGAAGGUGAGGUGGGUGGAUCACCUGAGGUCAGGAGUUCAAGACCAGCCUGACUAACAUGGUAAAACCCCAUCUCUACUAAAAAUACAAAAAAAUUAGCUAGGCGGGGUGGCGGGCAUCUAAUUCCAGCUACUUCAUGAGGCUGCGACAGGAGAAUCAUUUGAACUCGGGAGGCAGAGGUUGCAGUGAGCCGAGAUCACACCAUUGCACUCCAGCCUGGGCGAUGAGCGAAACUGUCUCAAAAAAAAAAAAAGUUGGGGUCUCGCUGUGUUGACCAGGCUGGUCUCGAACUCCUGGCCUCAAGUGAUCCUCCCAUCUUGGCCUCCCAAAGUGUUAGGAUUACAGGCGUGAGCCACCACACCCUGCCUGGUUGUGUACUCUUUUAAAUACUAAGUUUUUAAUGUUAAAUGCUGCUUUUAGAUACACUGUAAAAAUACACCUAUCAAUGAGUUUUUUUAUUAAAAACAUUGCAAUUGUACUAGACUUUAAAUACUAAGCAAUAAUUCAGGCUUCAAUGUUGGUUUAUAGUUUUCUCAUUUCUUUCAUUUAAUACCUCUGUAAAAUGAAGCAGUUACUUCCAUUUUCCUGAGGUGAGAUAAGUGCCCUGCACAAUGUUAUAGGCCCAGUAAGUGAGACUGGAGCUCUGAUCUAAUCCCUUUGACAUUAAAGUUUGUGCAGUAAACCAGCUAUGUCAGUUUGCCACAUUUGUAAUAGUGUUCAAUAAAUUUUCACUUAAAGGUUUAAUAUUAAAGUAGUAGCAAGAAUUCAUAACCUUAAUUGGCUUUAACAGCUUUUCUUUCCCUGAAAACAGAUGCAUAUGUACACAUGCACACAGAUUGCUUACAAUAUCAGCACGUAAAAGGCCUUUGCACAUUGAAGUCGGCACUGCUUUGGUGCCUUUUUUGUUUUUUGGCUCGGUGUUUUGACUGCAAGUCUUUUUGGAUAGAAUUUUAUAGUUAGAAAGUAGCUAACACUUGGGUUUUAUAGGCACAAAAAACAAGUCUUAUACUAGCUGUACUUUAUUUUUUGAGUUCUUAUUAAUGAGGAACAUCCACUUUUGCAUUGACAGUGAUUUCAAGAUUGCUUUAUCAGCCUUUAAAGGAUUCUUGACUAGUCGUGCACAUCAGAACUGCCAGGUCCCCAGUGGUUCUGAAGCAGUAAGCUUUGGGUGGGCUCUGGCAUCAGCACUUUCACUAAGCUUCACAGAUAAUUCUGAUGCAUACUCCAGGCCUGAACCACUGAUCAAUUUGAAACAUGCAUAACAAAGCAAAAAAAGUUUUGUUUCACCUUUUGAAAUACAGUUAACUCUUUUACCAUGCCAGAGAUCAUUCAGAGAGACAGGUCGUUGCUCCGGAGUGAUACAGAUCUGGCAGUACCCAGCCCUUGUGUGUGUGCGUUAGCUCAGCACCUGCCCACACUGCGAGCCCCCGUAGGAUGUGCCUUGUCCUUCCCUGUUUCAGCACUUAACACACUACCUGGUACAGAGUAUGUAGUGGGCAUCUGUUGAAUGAAUGCUUUUCCCAGUAGCAGUGUAUUCAUACAAUAUUAAUAUAAUUGUCCCCUGGCUUACAGAUAAAAAUGAAAGCAUCAAGUGCCCAGUGAGUGAGACCCAGGUGUUCUUCCUCCACCCCUAGUGGUCCCCUGGGCAGGUCUUUUUUUUUUUGUAACACUCACCAGUCUGUUCUGUAGUCAAUCAUUGAUUGACUUGUCUGUGAACUUGGAGGAACUGUUUCAUAGUUUCAUUAGCACAGAGUAAACAUGUUUGCCAUGCAAGGUUAUUUUGCAUCUGCAUUUAAGUGAUAAUGUUGAAUCAAUGAAAAGUGUUGAUUAAGCAGUAGUUGUAGAUAUGCUAAGUUUUUCAAAUUACUAAUAUCAAGUGGAGAUUGUUUUUACUUUUAAGGGUAUUGCUUUUGUGAUAGCAUAAAUAAUGGUUUUCCUUUUUUGUAAUGUAAAUUAAUUGCUGGCAACUUUUGUAUUCCCAUAGACUGGGGAAGCUUAAUUGCCUUUACAAGUACUUAUGUACAACUUUGUAUCAAAUUUUCUGUAAUAGUUUAUGCUUUAGUACUAUAUAUGUACUAAUAAUUUUAUCUGACUUCUGUUUAUAUCAUUUGUACAAUUACAUGGUUGUAAAAUAAACUUUUAAACCUCACGUAAUUGCUGUUAGCCACCUAUCCCCACCCCCUUUUUUUAACUGUGGAAUCUGAGUCAGGUACAGUGGCUUACGCCUGUAAUCCCUGUGCUUUGGAAGACUGAGGCAGGUGGAUUGCCUGAGUUUGAGACCAGCGUGGGCAACAUGGCGAAACACUGUCUCCACUAAAAAAUACAAAAAUUAGCUGGGGUUGGCCUGCCCCUGUAGUCUCAGCUACUCAGGAGGCUGAGAUAGGAGGAAUGCUUGAGCCUGGGGAGGUAGGGAAGUCAAGGCUGCAGUAAGCCAUGGUUGUGCCACUGCACUCCAGCCUGGGUGACAGAGCAAGACCCUGUCUCAGAAAAAAAGUAUGGAAUCUGGACAGAUAGAUAUAAUCUCUGAAGAGCAGAUUGCACAUUCCUUACACUUAAUACCUUAUCCUGUUUAAUCUUACAAUAACCUUGUGAAGUAGAUGGUAUUAUCCUGUUUUUGCAGCUAAAUAGGCCGAGACCUAAACAAAGAGGAUGAUUCCUCCAAAGUUGCCUGGCUAGCAAGGGGUGGAACAUUUAUUAGUAGCUCUCUCUGCUUGUUUCUUCUCUUCUGUCCUUGAGGGCUGUGAGAGGAAGAAAACUCUUCUACGCAUCUCCAUGCUGUGUCAAAGUCAAGCUCUAGCACAGCCUGCCAGGCUAUUUGGGGAGGCCUCAACUUCUAUAUAAAUGGCCCUUGUUCUUCCCAAGAGGAGAAUAGAGAAAGGCUGUUUUCCCUGUGGUGGAUUAAUGGUAUGAGAAUGCAGGGACACCAAGAAUGCAUUUCCUA
rnacentral:lncRNA from 1 species